rfam:Fusarium graminearum chromosome 1, complete genome
GCCAAGAUGGCCGAGUGGUUUAAGGCGCUGCAUUUAAGUAUUUCCUGUUUCUAGGUUAUCCUGCAGUAUCGAGAGAUGCCUGGGUUCGAACCCCAGUCUUGGCA